GAGCUGUAUUAACAUGUUUCAGAGUUGAAUUCUGAGAUUGUUCCCAUUCACUCAAAAGAAGAAAAAAAAAGAAAAAGAAAAAAAGAAGAAAAAAAAAGUGUGAGUUCCUGCAUCAAACUGCAGUCAGGAAAGAGUCCUUGAGCAAUAACGAUACUUGCGGACGUGACUUUGAAUGUCAAGAUUAAGAGAAACCUGGCGAGGACGAUGGGAUUAAGAUGGCGGAGUAGAAGGACUGGAGCUCAACCUCUCUCCUAAAAACAACCAAAUUCACAACUAAAGGCUGAGCAAUCUCCACCCAAAUGGACCGGAAACCUUAAAAAAGAUACCCCCUACUCCAGAAGACAAAGAGGAGGCCACAUCAAGAGACUUCAAAAGAAACACUGACAUUUCCUGGAUCUUCAGCCUGCCAAUCUUGGAUCAGAACUAUACUAUUGGCUCUCUUGGGUCUCCAACUGACUACAGAUCCUGGGACUUGUCAACCUUCAUAAUCAUGUCAGAGAAAACAGAUCCAGUUUUAUGCAGAAUAAAAGUUAACUGUGAAGUGGUCUUAAUAUUUCCCUUGAAGAAUAUACGCAUAUGCAGCAAAGAUAAGGGCCCUACCGGGAGCACAGGCUAGGGGUUGGAUAGGAGCUGCAGCUGCCAGCCACCACCACAGCCACAGCCACACCAGAUCUGAGCUGCGUCUGUGACCUAUACCACAGCUCACGGCAACGCCAGAUCCUUAACCCACUGAGCAAGGCCAGGGAUCCAACUGGCAUCCUCAUGGAUACUAGUCAGGUUUGUUAACCGCUGAGACAUGACGGGAACUCCUAAAUGAAAUACGACAUCAAGAACCAACACAUUUCCCUCCAGAAACAGCACAGAUGGAAAGUUUCUUUAAAUGUAAGGAAGAGGAUCCUAAAGGUUCUAAUCAAGAAUUCUUUAGUUGGGAAAAGGCAGCCAUGUGACUGAGUUUCUGCAAUGGACUGGUGAACAGAAAGUAACAUCUAAUAGAUGGGCUACUUCAAGAGCUUUCGCCUUUUAUCAAAAUGAGACUGGAUUCAUUGGCAGCUAUGGAUUGAAAAAGGCAGAGACAUAAACUGGAAGGAACAUGCAUCCUUGAAUCAUGGAUUAGAGAAGAACCAUUGCUAAUCAGAAACGCUUGGUUUAUACUUACACAGAAUAGGUUCUUUUAUACUUGAAGCAUUAUAUAUGGAGGAUGGUUGCUUCUUACAAAAACUGUGACUACUUGUCAGUAUAUGGAACAUACAUUUUUAUUCCUUCCAUCAUUACUAGCAUAUAUGCAUUUUUUCUUUUUUUUUCUAUAUAAAUAAUCUAUUCUGUACUGUCAGUCCAAAUAUAUGAUUAUUUUCCUGGAAUUUUUUGUAUACAAAUGUAGGAUGUUUUUUAAAGAUUUGAUAAAUAUUUCCAAAAUUCUGGACUAAUAUCUUCUUUCCACUGAUUUGUGCUGAAAUAACUUCUACAAAUACUCUACAUAAACAACACACUGUCUGUCUCAGGAAAAUGAAUUCUGAUUUCUGUUUGUUCUAGAUGCAAGUCCCACUGUUUAAAUUAUUAGAGUUUUAUCAUACAUCUUAAUAAUUGCUAUUAUGAACUCUCACUUAUUUCUCUUUCUCAAGGGCCUAUUUGUUUCCAGUCACAUUCUUUUGAUAUUCUUUUCAGAAGCACUUUGUUAAGAUCCUUAAAAAUUCCAUAGAGAGUAUUACAUGAGAUGCAUUUAUUUAAUAAAUAUUUUUUAGGAAAUUCAAUAUAUUUAUAAUAUGUAGCAUUUCCAACCAUAAAGAUAAUUUUAUGUUUGCUUUGUUAAUCCACUUUAGUAGAAAUUUGUACUUUUCUUCAUGUACUCAUCCAUACUUUAGUCAAACUAUUAUUUGUAUUGCAAUAUGAAUGGAAUACAUGAGAUUUAAACUUUUGGGAAAAUGUAUGUUUUAAAAAGCAAUUGUAUUUGGAAUCAUUUUCUGUACAAAAGAUUCUGCUUUAUAAAAAUAAGUUAACAUAGAAAUCUAUACACAGAACUCCAUAUGACCCAGCAAUCCCACUCUUGGGCAUAUAUCCAGAUAAAACUUUCCUUGAAAAAGACGCAUGCACACACAUGUUCAUUGCAGUACUAUUCACAAUAGCUAAGACGUGGAAACAACCUAAAUGUCCAUCGACAGAUGAUUGGAUUAAGAAGAUGUGGUAUAUAUACACAAUGGAAUACAACUCAGCCAUAAAAAGAACAAAACAAUGCCAUUUGCAGCAACAUGGAUAGAACUAGAGACUCUCAUACUGAGUAUAGUAAGUCGGAAAGAGAAAGACAAAUAUGAUAUGAUUUCACUUAUAUCUGGAAUCUAAUAUACGGCGCAAAUGAACCUUUCCACAGAAAAGAAACUCAUGGACAUGGAGAGCAGACUGUGGUUGUCAAGAGGGAGGGGAGGGAGUGGGAGGAACUGGGAAUUUGGGGUUAAUAAAUGCAAACUAUUGCCUUUGGCAUGGAUAAGCAAUGGGGUCCUGCUGUAUAGCACUGGGAACUAUGUCUAGUCACUUGUGAUAGAGCAUGAUAAUGUGAGAAAAAAGAAUGUAUACAUGUAUGUGUGACUGGGUCACUUCACUGUGUGGUAGAAAAUUGACAGAACACUGUAAAUCAGCUUUAAU
rnacentral:lncRNA from 1 species